rnacentral:rRNA from 1 species
CAGAGUUUGAUCAUGGCUCAGGACGAACGCUGGCGGCGUGCUUAACACAUGCAAGUCGAGCGGAAAGGCCCUUCGGGGUACUCGAGCGGCGAACGGGUGAGUAACACGUGAGUAAUCUGCCCCUAGCUCUGGGAUAGCUCCGGGAAACCGGGAUUAAUACCGGAUAUGACCACUACAGACAUCUGUUUUGGUGGAAAGAAUUUCGGCUAGGGAUGAGCUCGCGGCCUAUCAGCUUGUUGGUGGGGUAACGGCCUACCAAGGCGACGACGGGUAGCCGGCCUGAGAGGGCGACCGGCCACACUGGGACUGAGACACGGCCCAGACUCCUACGGGAGGCAGCAGUGGGGAAUAUUGGACAAUGGGCGCAAGCCUGAUCCAGCCAUGCCGCGUGGAUGAUGAAGGCCCUAGGGUUGUAAAGUCCUUUCGGCGGGGAAGAUAAUGACGGUACCCGCAGAAGAAGCCCUGGCUAACUUCGUGCCAGCAGCCGCGGUAAUA